GUGAGAGACAGCUCUUCUAAGUUGAUGUAAUGCUGUUCAGAGAUGUAGGAGGUGAUAAUUUCACUGCUGAGGAUGCUUGAUCCUCCUACCCCCACCUCCACCAAGACAUGGCUGCAAGUUGGAUGCAAAUACCUGCAGUCUGAUGAAAUGCAGUGCUCUCUUCCUGCUAAGGAAGACAAGUGGCAGGUGAUCACAGAGGGUGUGGAGCUGUUCUGCAAAAAGUCAACAGGACAGUUUGGAACACCCCAUGACUUCUCAAGCAGCUGACAACAUGCCACAAAUAUCCACUGCUCUACAAGAGAUGCACCACAGGCCAGUGAAAGCUGCAAGUUUGAAGUCUGGCAUUCCUAAGGAGCUGCUGGAACAAGAUAGGAGCACUUAAUCCUAUCAGGAAGCUGGAAAUCUCACUUCCCAAAGAGCCAUUUUUCACCCAGACUGCUGUAGGAAAACUUUGAUAAAACACUUGAUUGUGGCUGACAGCUAGCUGAGCUCUGUUAGCCAUAACAACAUUUAUAGUGUAGUUUUUUCCCAAACCGAUGAUUUGGAAGAUACUGGUGCAUCAGAUACUCAGCCCACUACAAACAAGGCAAUCUUUAGCAGAUGUUCCGACUAGUCAAACAACAAACAAGCCAUGGGUUGGAAGGGACCUUAAAUAUCAUCUAGUUCCAAAAACACUGUCCUGGGCAGGGAUGUCUCCCACUAGAGCAGAUUGCUCAGAGCCCCAUCCAACCUGGCCUUGAACACUUCCAGCAGAUGAUACUGUGACAUUACUGAGGCACUGGAACAGGUUGCUCAGAGAAGUUGUGGAUGGGGCUCUGAGCAAUCUGCUGGUGUUCCUUCUUGCUUAUCAAAUUGUUCACUCCUGCCCAAAGGGGUCAGUCCCAAUGGUUCCCAUCCUUCCAGCACAUCCCACUGGACCUAAGAUAAUUUAACUCCCCAAAUGACUCUAUUUUUUUGCUGAGAAUUGCUUCUCUGCCACCUUAGCAAAGGAGAUCAGCCAUCAAGGAGUCCAAAGUGUGCCAAAGCAAGUGCAAAGAGAGGUGUGGGGGGAAAAGGCGCUGAAUGAGUUGUUAGGUCAGCUCAAGCCCUGACACGUACCUUUGCCCUCACUCCUGUUUCCAGUGUGACAUAAUAUUAAGGGUGCUGACAAAGGAGCUCUGUCAAGUCUUGUGGCUGCAGUUGGAGGAGACAUCACACCAAAACACAGCUACUCUGCCAGGAGUUGAUACCUGCACAGCAGGCAAAGGAAUGGUACAGCUGCUGAUGCCUCAGCUAUUUCUGUGUAAAACUCAGCUCCCGGUGAAGGUGGAUGUAAAGCUCUGGACUUGGCACUUUUGAAGGGGCUGAGGCAGAAACUCACAUUCUCUUCUGCCAGCGUUGCAGAGGAGAAGUUGAAACCUGCAGCAGAGGG